AAAGUAAACAAGCCAGAGAUGAAUUUGAUCUUUGUGUCUUUGAAGCUUUUGCAAGCUGAGUUGUUCCCUGUGACGUUGCAGCAUGGGCACCCUCUAUGUUGGAUCCAAUAUCAUCAAUCAUAGCUCCCUGUUCAUGGACUAGAACUGCAAGAUCUUUAAAGAUUUCAUUCACUUCUCCAAUUUGCUGCUGGAUUUCAUGAAUGCCUUGCUCUCUUUCCUCAAUUAUUGCCUCAUUGAAGGCUAUUUCAUUGUCUAACAGCAAGACCUCUUGUCUCCUGGAUUCCACAAGGAGGGCACGCUGUUCAAGAUUCUUUUCUGAGCUUGCAUCUGCCUCGCCGGCUGUGUAGCUAGAAGGUAGAACAGUUUGGGGAACAAAAGGUGUAU
rnacentral:misc_RNA from 1 species